rnacentral:lncRNA from 1 species
AUCUGAUAUUGGACGACAGAUGUUGCCCUUUUAUGUAAUUAUGUAAUACAAGUUACGAUCAUUUGAAAACACACAUUAAACAGCCAAAUGGAUGCACAAGAGCUAAAAUAGGAGUCAUAGAUCCUAUUGACAACAAUUAUCUGCCAUAUUUUAAUGAUUUUGUAACAUUUGUUUCAAAUAUGACCAACUUAUCCGAAAUCACCAGCACCGUAUCAGGACCCACCAGCACAGUAUUAGGACAUGAAUAAAUUGAGAAAAUGCUAUAUUUUAAUAAAUUGCAAUGUUUUUUUCACAAAAUAGUUUUGUCGUGUGGAUUGCGGUGUAGAAAGCGGAC